AUAAGGAGCUUGCUCCUUUGACGUUAGCGGCGGACGGGUGAGUAACACGUGGGUAACCUACCUAUAAGACUGGAAUAACUCCGGGAAACCGGGGCUAAUGCCGGAUAACAUUUAGAACCGCAUGGUUCUAAAGUGAAAGAUGGUUUUGCUAUCACUUAUAGAUGGACCCGCGCCGUAUUAGCUAGUUGGUAAGGUAACGGCUUACCAAGGCAACGAUACGUAGCCGACCUGAGAGGGUGAUCGGCCACACUGGAACUGAGACACGGUCCAGACUCCUACGGGAGGCAGCAGUAGGGAAUCUUCCGCAAUGGGCGAAAGCCUGACGGAGCAACGCCGCGUGAGUGAUGAAGGUCUUCGGAUCGUAAAACUCUGUUAUUAGGGAAGAACAAAUGUGUAAGUAACUAUGCACGUCUUGACGGUACCUAAUCAGAAAGCCACGGCUAACUACGUGCCAGCAGCCGCGGUAAUACGUAGGUGGCAAGCGUUAUCCGGAAUUAUUGGGCGUAAAGCGCGCGUAGGCGGUUUCUUAAGUCUGAUGUGAAAGCCCACGGCUCAACCGUGGAGGGUCAUUGGAAACUGGGAAACUUGAGUGCAGAAGAGGAAAG
rnacentral:rRNA from 1 species